rnacentral:rRNA from 1 species
UACGUAGGGUGCAAGCGUUAAUCGGAAUUACUGGGCGUAAAGCGUGCGCAGGCGGUUGUGCAAGGCAGGUGUGAAAUCCCCGGGCUUAACCUGGGAAUUGCAUUUGUGACUGCACGGCUAGAGUGUGUCAGAGGGGGGUAGAAUUCCACGUGUAGCAGUGAAAUGCGUAGAUAUGUGGAGGAAUACCGAUGGCGAAGGCAGCCCCCUGGGAUAACACUGACGCUCAUGCACGAAAGCGUGGGGAGCAAACAGG